rnacentral:rRNA from 1 species
GUGCCAGCCGCCGCGGUAAUACGUAGGGGGCAAGCGUUGUCCGGAUUUAUUGGGCGUAAAGAGCGUGUAGGCGGUUUGGUAGGUCCGCUGUGAAAACUCGAGGCUCAACCUCGAGACGCCGGUGGAAACCAUCAGACUAGAGUCCGGAAGAGGAGAGUGGAAUUCCUGGUGUAGCGGUGAAAUGCGCAGAUAUCAGGAAGAACACCCGUGGCUAAGGCGGCUCUCUAGUACGGUACUGACGCUGAGACGCGAAAGCGUGGGGAGCGAACAGGAUUAGAUACCCUAGUAGUCC